rnacentral:misc_RNA from 1 species
AACGCACAUUGCGCCCGCUAGUACUCUAGCGGGCAUGCCUGUUCGAGCGUCAUUUCGACCAUCAAGCCUUAGUUGCUUGUGUUGGAGCACUAUAGUUCAUACUGUAAGCUCUGAAAUGCAGCGGCGGACUUGCUAAGAUCCCGAACGCAGUAGUUUUCAACUCGUUUAGGGUAUCCAGUAAGUUAUUCUAGCCGUUAAACAAUCCAUAUUUUAAUGGUUGACCUCGGAUCAGGUAGGAAUACCCGCUGAACUUAA